UACGUAGGGUGCAAGCGUUUGUCCGGAAUUAUUGGGCGUAAAGAGCUCGUAGGCGGUUUGUCGCGUCUGUCGUGAAAGCUUGGGGCUUAACCCCAAGUCUGCGGUGGAUACGGGCAGACUAGAGGCAGGUAGGGGAGAACGGAAUUCCCGGUGUAGCGGUGAAAUGCGCAGAUAUCGGGAGGAACACCGGUGGCGAAGGCGGUUCUCUGGGCCUGUACUGACGCUGAGGAGCGAAAGCGUGGGGAGCGAACAGG
rnacentral:rRNA from 1 species